rnacentral:rRNA from 1 species
GAUGCAUAGCCGAGUUGAGAGACUGAUCGGCCACAUUGGGGACUGAGACACGGGCCCAAAAACUCCUACGGGGAGGCAGCAGUAGGGAAUCUUCCACAAUGGACGCAAGUCUGAUGGAGCAACGCCGCGUGAGUGAAGAAGGGUUUCGGCUCGUAAAGCUCUGUUGUUGGUGAAGAAGGACAGGGGUAGUAACUGACCUUUGUUUGACGGUAAUCAAUUAGAAAGUCACGGCUAACUACGUGCCAGCAGCCGCGGUAAU